GAUUUAAAGGUGCUUGGUGGCGGUGGGGGGGGGGGGGGUCCAGCUGUAAAAUGUCAUCCCAGCCAGUGUGACAUCACCACAGUCUAGUGUGACACCCCCAGAGAUUGGGCAGCGCGCAGGGAGGCACUGCCUACCCGGGAAGCCACCCUGCUGGUGAGGAAUUACCUCAGUUUAGGCUUUAACGUUUCGUUGCAGGCUAGAGACGUUCUAGCAGAGUGGCCUCCAUGUACGGGAUCUGGAAGCCUCCACGUACAUCAGGAGCCCCUCACUAAGGCUCUUCCACUGCCGCCUUAGGAACCUGGGUUUGCAUUAGGAGACAGGAACUUCACAGAAGAAAUUCUUUUGCUCCUGCCUCUCUUUUUGCUGAGACAAAGGAACAAAGACACCAGGCCUGGAGCUGCCAUGGCCAUCUUGUGACCAUAAAUGUGAUAGCAAACAAAGAUGGACACAGUCAGCGUGCUGAGGACAGCAAAGGAGACAGAUAGAAAGAACGGGUCCUUGAUGACAUAGGAGGCACGAGCUCUUAAGUAUGACAGGUACUCCUUGGAAAGAAGUUAUUGGUAUUUACUAGCCUGCCUGAGAGCCAUGGGGUUAGAAACUAAAACCAGAGAAGAUGAGUGUCGUGUACAAAGCUGAGAAGUCAAGUACCCACCUGUGUUAGCAAUCCGCCUAGGAUAAUCAGGUCAUGAUCUCACAGUUCAUGGGAUGGAGCCACAGCACAGAGCCUGCCUGGAAUUCUCUCCCUCUUUCUCCCUGUACCUCCCCUGCUCUUCCCUGCCCACAGUGCAUGCUCUCUCUCUCUGUC